CAAGGAAACUAGAGUCCGUCACAAACAGGAAUUGCUUGAGGCCGCAGAGAGUGGGCUGACGGACUGUCACUCCCGACUCACAGGCUAAUGACCCUGCAAUCCCGGCUGCGCACAGACAGCAGCAGGGGGAUGUCUUAUCUUCCUACUGGCUGGAGACUGAGGCAAUCUCGGGCACAGUGCAGUUCGCCAGCUACUUUACCUGCACUGCCUCUUUCCCCUCCUCAGUAGUUUCUCAUGGGCGGGGACCAAGUCUUCCUUCGUUUUCCAGAGCCAUAGAUAGGAGUAGCUUUGAUACUUGUUCUCAUCGUGUGGUCCUGGGGAAGUUACUCAGCUACUUAGAGCCGUUUCUUCAGUGUCCUGACCUUUGCAGGGCUGGCCGCAAGAGAAGUCUUGAGUGAGCUGAGGAAGAAAUGAAGCAUCAGCCACGUGCACCGCAGGUCCGCGCCCUCGCAGCUCACACAGGGGCCGCUGGCCUGCGGGUGUCCACGGCGGCCAGCGGCUCCUCCAGGGCUCCUUCCGCGGCCGGGGCCCACCAGAGUCUGCAAAUGCAAGAACUUCCCACGUCCAGUUGGCUCUCAAGAACCGCGAUGCUUGGAAAAGGAUUCCAGCCCCUACAGAUGAGUCCCCGGGGCUGUGGGGCGGGGCAGGACCCUGUCCUUCACCCCGCCCGUCCUAGGCACCGCUGAGUCCUUGCAUCAGGUGGCCACAUCACCCUCAUUUUGCCGGGUAAGGAAGCUGAGACUCAGCAUCUCGGGAGGAGACUUGGCCCGACCAUGCAAAGCUGCCAAGUAGAGGGGCCCACACUUGAAUUCAGGGGUCUGCACCUGAGGGUGAGACUGCAUUUCCGGUCCUAAGGGAAGCCCACAGGAAAGGCUUCCCUUCACAACAGAAAGCCGGAAGGAAAUGAACUUAGCUCCUGGGGCAGUGCCGCAGAGAGACUUCAUCCCUACAGCACCACAUCCGGGCUUUCUCUGCCCUCCAGGACGGGCUCUGUGCGCCUCACCUGUCAGAACAAACCCUGGACCCACCAUGGGGGAGGACUUUGGUUUGUCACAGCUGCUUAAGAGUGAACACAGCACGUGAUUGCUCCUUGGAGGCCUGGCCCUGGGACAGGUGUGCGCUUCAGCCACAGGAUAUCCUCCCUGUAGCCGCUGUGGUUCAGCAGCCAAAAUCAGUACUUACGUUUUCAGGAAUCGUCUUGUUGAAGAGUCAUUAUUAAAAAUCAAAUCAAAACAUUUUUUAAUCAUAUUAAAAACAAAGGUAAUAAAACAUCAAAGCCCAUCG
rnacentral:lncRNA from 1 species